CCUACGGGUGGCAGCAGUGGGGAAUAUUGCACAAUGGGGGAAACCCUGAUGCAGCGACGCCGCGUGAGUGAAGAAGUACUUCGGUAUGUAAAGCUCUAUCAGCAGGGAAGAAAUUGAGUGUAUCUGACUAUUCACGUUCCGCUAAUUACGUGCCAGCAGCCGCGGUCAUACGUAGGGGGCGAGCGUUCGCCGGAUUUAAUGGGUGUAACGGGAUCGUAGACGGCAGUGCAAGUCUGGUGUGAAAGGCGGGGGCUCAACCCCCGGACUGCUUUGGAAACUGGACGGCUGGAGUGCAGGAGAGGUAAGUGGAAUUCCUAGUGUAGCGGUGAAAUGCGUAGAUAUUAGGAGGAACACCAGUGGCGAAGGCGGCUUACUGGACUGUAACUGACGUUGAGGCUCGAAAGCGUGGGGAGCAAACAGGAUUAGAUACCCGGGUAGUC
rnacentral:rRNA from 1 species